GAUGAACGCUGGCGGCGUGCCUAAUACAUGCAAGUCGAACGAACUCUUAAUCUAUUUUAUAUAGAGCGCACGCCUGAUGAGAGCGGACAUAUAAUUUUUGCGAAGCAUUUAGUUGCUGAGUCAAAAAUUCAUAUGUCUGCUAGUCAUCAGGCCUUAAGCAAGAGUUAGUGGCGGGCGGGUGAGUAACACGUUAGUACCUGCCCUUUAGUGGGGAANAACCCGGCGAAAGUCGGGCUAAUACCGCAUGUGAUCGUUUACGAUUAAAGCCUUCGGGCGCUAAAGGAGGGGCUUGCGUUAGAUUAGCUAGUUGGUAGGGUAAUGGCCUACCAAGGCGACGAUCUAUAGCUGGUUCGAGAGGAUGACCAGCCACACUGGGACUGAGAUACGGCCCAGACUCCUACGGGAGGCAGCAGUAAGGAAUCUUCCGCAAUGGACGAAAGUCUGACGGAGCAACGCCGCGUGCAGGAUGACGGCC
rnacentral:rRNA from 1 species